AUUGAACGCUGGCGGCAUGCCUUACACAUGCAAGUCGAACGGCAGCGGGGACUUCGGUCCGCCGGCGAGUGGCGAACGGGUGAGUAAUGCAUCGGAACGUACCCGGAAGUGGGGGAUAACGUAGCGAAAGUUACGCUAAUACCGCAUAUUCUGUGAGCAGGAAAGAGGGGGAUCUUCGGACCUCUUGCUUUCGGAGCGGCCGAUGUCAGAUUAGCUAGUUGGUAAGGUAAAGGCUCACCAAGGCGACGAUCUGUAGCGGGUCUGAGAGGAUGAUCGGCCAAGCUGGAACUGAGACACGGUCCAGACUCCUACGGGAGGCAGCAGUGGGGAAUUUUGGACAAUGGGCGCAAGCCUGAUCCAGCCAUGCCGCGUGAGUGAAGAAGGCCUUCGGGUUGUAAAGCUCUUUCGGCCGGGAAGAAAUCGCAUGGAUUAAUACUCUGUGCGGAUGACGGUACCGGCAUAAGAAGCACCGGCUAACUACGUGCCAGCAGCCGCCGUAA
rnacentral:rRNA from 1 species